rnacentral:rRNA from 1 species
AGAGUUUGAUCAUGGCUCAGGACGAACGCUGGCGGCGUGCCUAAUACAUGCAAGUCGUGCGGUUUGAGAGGAGCUUGCUCCUCGAUGACAGCGGCGGACGGGUGAGUAACACGUGGGCAAUCUGCCCGACAGACUGGGAUAACGCUUGGAAACGAGUGCUAAUACCAGAUAGUCUUUUGAACUGCAUGGUUCGAAAGGGAAAGGAGCUAUCGCUCCACUGUCGGAUGAGCCCGCGGCGCAUUAGCUAGUUGGUGAGGUAACGGCUCACCAAGGCGACGAUGCGUAGCCGACCUGAGAGGGUGACCGGCCACACUGGGACUGAGACACGGCCCAGACUCCUACGGGAGGCAGCAGUAGGGAAUCUUCCGCAAUGGGCGCAAGCCUGACGGAGCAACGCCGCGUGAAUGAUGAAGGCCUUCGGGUUGUAAAAUUCUGUCUUCUGUGAAGAACAAGCGUGAGAGUGGAAAGCUCACGCCCUGACGGUAACAGAGGAGGAAGCCCCGGCUAACUACGUGCCAGCAGCCGCGGUAAUACGUAGGGGGCGAGCGUUGUCCGGAAUCACUGGGCGUAAAGCGCGCGCAGGCGGCCAUCUACGUCCGGGGUGAAAGCCCAGAGCUCAACUCUGGGAUUGCCUUGGAUACGGGGUGGCUUGAGGAUCGGAGAGGCAAGGGGAAUUCCACGUGUAGCGGUGAAAUGCGUAGAGAUGUGGAGGAACACCUGUGGCGAAGGCGCCUUGCUGGCCGAUUUCUGACGCUGAGGCGCGAAAGCGUGGGGAGCAAACAGGAUUAGAUACCCCCGUAGUCC